GACAGAGGGUGCAAACGUUGUUCGGAAUUACUGGGCGUAAAGCGCGUGUAGGCUGCUCGGAAAGUCGGAUGUGAAAGCCCUGGGCUCAACCUAGGAAGUGCAUUCGAAACUUCCGAGCUGGAGUGCUGGAGAGGAAGGCGGAAUUCUCGGUGUAGAGGUGAAAUUCGUAGAUAUCGAGAGGAACGACCGGUGGCGAAGGCGGCCUUCUGGACAGCCACUGACGCUGAGACGCGAAAGCGUGGGGAGCAAACAGG
rnacentral:rRNA from 1 species